rnacentral:rRNA from 1 species
AGCGAACGCUGGCGGCAGGCUUAACACAUGCAAGUCGAGCGGGCAUCCUUGUGGUGUCAGCGGCAGACGGGUGAGUAACGCGUGGGAACGUGCCCUUCGGUUCGGAAUAACUCAGGGAAACUUGAGCUAAUACCGGAUACGUGCGAGAGCAGAAAGGUUUAUCUGCCGAAGGAUCGGCCCGCGUCUGAUUAGCUAGUUGGUGAGGUUACGGCUCACCAAGGCGACGAUCAGUAGCUGGUCUGAGAGGAUGAUCAGCCACACUGGGACUGAGACACGGCCCAGACUCCUACGGGAGGCAGCAGUGGGGAAUAUUGGACAAUGGGGGCAACCCUGAUCCAGCCAUGCCGCGUGAGUGAUGACGGCCUUAGGGUUGUAAAGCUCUUUUCUCCGGGACGAUAAUGACGGUACUGGAGGAAUAAGCCCCGGCUAACUUCGUG